UGACCGCGCCCUCCCAGGCGUGGGAGGGGGGAUCCGGACUCGAGGCGGGGUUCUGGGGGUGAUCCUGGCCUCGGUGGCCCCGGGCUGGCCGGGUCUGCGCCGCCUGGACACAGCAGGAGCUGCCUCCGCCCCCGGAUGGGCUGGGAGGGUGGGCGGAGUCAUCUGGAGCCCGCGCGGGUAGUGCCCGAAGCCCGCCUCGGCGCCGGCAGUCCCCGGCCGCAUAGCGCGACGCUCUCCCGGAGCUGCGGCUGCCAGGUCUGGGGUCCUGAGGCCCCUGGCAGACUAUGGGUACAACGGCAAGCACAGCACAGCAGACAGUCUCGGCUGGCACGUCCUUGGAGGGCCUGCAGGGUGGCAGCAGCAGCAGCAUGGACAGCCAGCAUUCUCUUGGUGGCGUGCAGUCCUUCCGUGCCACAAGUUUACACAACAGCAAGGCCAAGUCCAUCAUCCCCAACAAGGUGGCCCCUGUUGUGAUCACGUACAACUGCAAGGAGGAGUUCCAGAUCCACGAUGAGCUGCUCAAGGCCCAUUACAGGAUGGGCCGGCUCUCGGAUGCCACCCCCGAGCACUACCUGGUGCAGGGUCGCUAUUUCUUGGUGCGUGACAUCACCGAGAAGAUGGACAUACUGGGCACCUUGAAGAGCUGUGGGGCUCCCAACUUCCGGCAGGUGCGGGGAGGCCUCCCUGUGUUUGGCAUGGGACAGCCCAGCCUCUUGGGGUUCAGGAGGGUCCUGCAGAAACUCCAGACGGACGGACUCAAGGAGUGCAUUAUCUUCUGCGUGCGGGAGGAGCCUGUGGUGUUCUUGCGCGCUGAGGAGGACUUUGUGUCUUACACACCUCGAGACAAGGAGAGCCUUCAUGAGAACCUCAGGGACCCUAGUCCAGGGGUCAAGGCUGAGAAUCUGGAGCUGGCCAUCCAGAAAGAGAUCCAUGACUUUGCCCAAUUGAGAGAUAAUGUGUACCACGUAUACCACAACACAGAGGACCUGCGCGGGGAGCCGCACACCGUGGCCAUCCGAGGUGAGGAUGGCGUGUGCGUGACCGAGGAGGUGUUUAAGCGGCCGCUCUUCCUGCAGCCCACCUACAGCAGAUACCACCGCCUCCCCUUGCCAGAGCAAGGGGCCCCCCUGGAAGCCCAGUUUGAUGCCUUUGUCAGCGUUCUUCGGGAGACCCCCAGCCUUCUGCCACUCAGAGAUAACCACGGGCCUCUGCCUGCCCUCCUGUUCAGCUGCCAGUCAGGUGUAGGCAGAACCAACCUAGGCAUGGUCCUGGGAACCCUCGUCAUGUUCCACCACAGUAGGACCACCUCCCAGCUAGAGGCAGCCUCCCCGUUGGCCAAACCCCUGCCCAUGGAGCAGUUUCAGGUGAUCCAGGGCUUCAUCUGUAAGGUGCCACAGGGGAAGAAAAUGGUGGAGGAGGUGGAUCGAGCGAUCAGUGCCUGUGCAGAGUUGCAUGACCUGAAGGAGGAGGUCCUAAAAAACCAGAGGAGGCUGGAAAGCUUCAGGCCAGAGAGCCGGGGACAGGAAUGUGGUAGUCAGCAAGCUGUCCAGCAGAGGGCGCUGUGGAGCCUGGAGCUGUACUUCUAUCUGCUCCUAUUUAACUACUAUCUGCAUGAGCAGUUUCAGUCGAUGGCUGUGUACCCAUCCUGAGCUGUACCGUCUGCUGGUGGAGCUGAAUUCAGUGGGGCCCUUGGUCCCUGGGGACCUCAUCGCCAAGGGCUCCCUGGAAGCAGAUGAUCUUGUGUCCCUGGAUGCACUUAGCACCGUCAGAGAGAUGGACGUGGCCAACUUCCGGCGUGUACCUCGAAUGCCUAUCUAUGGCACCGCACAGCCUAGUGCCAAGGCCUUAGGCAACAUCCUGGCUUACCUGUCUGACGCCAAGAGGAAGCUUCGGCAGGUGGUCUGGAUCAACCUGAGGGAGGAGGUUGUGUUAGAGUGUGACGGUCACACGCACAGCUUGUGGCCUCCCGGACCAGCCCUGGCCCCUGAGCAUCUGGAGGCUCUGGAGGCCCAGCUGAAGGCCCACCUGAGCGCACCUGUCCCCAACACCAAGAGCCCUACUGCCCCCAGGUUCCAGAAGUGCCUGACCACACAGGAGGUCUUCAGCCAGCACCAGGGGGCCUGCCUUGGCCUUACCUACUGCCGUAUCCCUGUGCCAGACUUCUGCGCCCCUCGGGAGGAGGACUUUGACCGGCUGCUUGAGGCCCUGCGAGCUGCUCUCACCAAGGACCCGGGCACAGGCUUUGUCUUCAGCUGCCUCAGUGGCCAGGGCCGGACCACAACUGCCAUGGUGGUAGCCGUGCUGGCCUGCUGGCACAUUGGGGGCUGUCCUGAGGUGGGCGAGGAGGAGCUAGUGAGCGUGCCUGAUGCCAAGUUCACCAAAGGCGAGUUUCAGGUGGUGAUGAAGGUGGUACAGCUGCUGCCCGACGGCCACCACGUGAAGAAGGAGGUGGAUGCGGCGUUGGACAUUGUCAGCGAGACUAUGACACCUAUGCACUACCACCUUCGGGAGAUCAUCAUAUCCACCUACCGACAGGCAAAGGCUACCAAAGAGGCACAGGAAGCUCAGAGGUUGCAGCUGCGGAGCCUGCAGUACCUGGAGCGCUACAUCUACCUGAUCCUCUUUAAUGCCUACCUUCGCUUGGAGAAGACCAGCUCCUGGCAGAGGCCUUUCAGCACCUGGAUGCGGGAGGUGGCAACCAAAGCUGGCAUCUAUGAGAUCCUCAACCAGCUGGGCUUCCCUGAGCUGGAGAGCAUCGAAGAGCAGCCCCUGUCGAGGCUCCGCUACCGCUGGCAGGAGCAGAGUCGAGACCCAGAGCCCUGUGAUGUUGGGGACUUCCUGUAGGCCUUCUUUGGAGACCCAGAGCCCUGUGAUGCUGGGGACUUCCUAUAGGCCUUCUUCUUGCCCCUUGCUAGGCAGGUUGGGGGACCUGAGGGUCUCAUUGCUUCGGAUGGACACUUGUCCGCUUCUUGGUGAGACUUGAGGGGCCGAGAGCCUUUGGGAAGAGGUGUUUUUUUUGUAGGGUGUAAGAUGGCACCACCAUUUUCUGUCAACCUUCGGGGUGCGUAAUGGCCUCUGGCCAGGCCUAGCACAUGUACCUCACAGACCAACUGGCAAGCAGCCUUCAGGGAGCUCGAUCCCCAAACAGCCAGUCACCACCUCUGUCCCCUCUUCACUGUUGGUCGUCAGACUGCCUGAGUGGACAGCAGGCUGGUCGCGUUUGUAUUUUCACUUCCUUCCUCUGACUGGCUUGCUCUUGUCUCUCAGUCUUUCAUCCCAGGCAGCUGCCUGAGGUAGGUGAGGAGGAUGGUGAGCCAGGCAGGUCUACAAUAAAGGCAGCUCUGUCCGGCUCCUUCUGGCUCGUGAGUGUCACCGGCCUGGAAGACUGAGGGAAUGGCUCCCCUCUCUCCUCCCCGUCUUUCCCCAGUUCCUUCCCUAUGUUGGCCCAUGUGCCCAGGGAGUUGGAAGCAUCAGGGAGACCCUCUUAGUGUGGGGAAGGAAGUCAGAGACCAUUGACACAGUGAAGAGGCAGGAUCAUGUGUUGGAAGCCUGUUAGCAGGACCAAGGUGACUCUUGGGAGAGACUCUUGUGGACACAGGCCGUGGUGGCUUGUCAGACCUUAAGGGUCCAGGCCCACCCCUGCCAGGAUCCCUGGUCUGCUUUCUCCAGGACACACUGGGACACUGCUGAGUAAUGAGCAGCUUAUUACACACAAUGGGAAGAGGGGCAGAGAGGGCUGUGUUUGGUUGAGUCUCGGCUGGGACUGAAGUUUGCCAUAAGUAGUGGUUGUACAUCCAGGAGCCUGGCUACCUGUCUUACCCCUUGAAGGACAAGGAUGAAUCUCUGGGUAGCUGUCCUUCAGGAAGAUGCCAGCUGUGCUAUUUGAAGAGGCCAAAGUUGUUCCCAGCCUGGGGAGAGUGGUGACCCUCUUAGCUGAAUUCUUUUGCAAGCUGCUGUAUGUCUGUCCACGCCUUCUCAGGUUUGCUGGUGUCUAUUUUGUACAAGUCAGUGCUUUUCAGAAAAGGUCUAGCCAGUGAGUCAGAGGCCAGAGAGACCCUUCACACUCUUGUGGUUGGCACUGACUUGGAGAUAUGCUGGGACCAAUGGCAGAUCACUUUACCUCUCUGCCUCAGUGUCACUGUCUGUAAAAUUGGAGAAUAAUACUUGCCUACCUACCUCACAGGGGUGUUGUGAGGAAUCCUUUAUGGUUUUCUGUUUUUUUGUUUUUGUUUUUGUACAGAGCUUUUGAGCAUUAAAACCAUCUAAACAUGUAACAUA